rnacentral:lncRNA from 1 species
CUUCACAAAAUAAGAAGUUAAUUCUACAAAAAUCAACGAUCAUCAGUAUAAUAAAAUGGUCAACACUUUAUUUAUACUCUACUGUAUAAGUUUCGGUCUACCAUACAGGGUUCUUCUAAUUAUAUAUACAGUUAUUAUCUUUGUUUCUUCGUAAUCCAUUGACUUUGCUCAUCAGAAAGUCACCUCCAGUUAACACGAUAGUUUUUAUCCCUUUAACUUUUAUAACUGGUAAUUAAUAAACAUCAGACAACUGAAAAAUUCAACAAGUUAUCUAGUCUAAUCUUAAAAUUAAGGAUCAGACAAAGUAAUAACCUGUCAGGAAACGAGCACAGAGACGAAAAGCUGAACAGUGGAGAAGCGAAGCGAGAAAUAUCGACAGAAAACCCAAGCAGAACAGAGCGUAAUCCAGAAUUUAUUCAACUAUCAUAGCUAAACACUUCUAUAAACUGUCCAAUAUAACCUUAAAAGUAAACAUCAGAUUUGCCAGAAACAAGGGCAUCGAAGUAAUCUAACCUGAAGAGAUAAUGUUUAACCCCCAAAAUAUAUUGCUAAUCCCCAUGAAAACCUGAAGAGAUAAUGUUUAACCCCAAAAAUAUAUUGUUGGUCUCUGUGAAACACAGGUGUUUGCAAGGUAACAAAACAACUCAAAGCACCAAAAGCAAGAGGAUGUUGAUGUUACACGUCUGAGAGGAGAAAGAGCCGCGUAUGUAGAGAGAGAUAAAGACAC